rnacentral:rRNA from 1 species
GAUGAACGCUGACAGAAUGCUUAACACAUGCAAGUCAACUUGAACUUCGGUUUGGGUGGCGGACGGGUGAGUAACGCGUAAAGAACUUGCCUCACAGCUAGGGACAACAUUUGGAAACGAAUGCUAAUACCUGAUAUUAUGAUUUUAGGGCAUCCUAGAAUUAUGAAAGCUAUAUGCGCUGUGAGAGAGCUUUGCGUCCCAUUAGCUAGUUGGAGAGGUAACGGCUCACCAAGGCGAUGAUGGGUAGCCGGCCUGAGAGGGUGAACGGCCACAAGGGGACUGAGACACGGCCCUUACUCCUACGGGAGGCAGCAGUGGGGAAUAUUGGACAAUGGACCAAGAGUCUGAUCCAGCAAUUCUGUGUGCACGAUGAAGUUUUUCGGAAUGCAAAGUGCUUUCAGUUGGGAAGAAAAAAAUGACGGUACCAACAGAAGAAGUGACGGCUAAAUACGUG